rnacentral:snoRNA from 1 species
AACCCAUGGUGAGGGCACCUUUUAAACUGAUCCUUUUAUCUCUCCCAUGCAUCGUAAAGUGUUUCUAAAUCCAUCUACACAAAAGAAGAUAUAUCAUUACGUAAUUU